AGAGUUUGAUCAUGGCUCAGAGUGAACGCUGGCGGCAUGCCUAACACAUGCAAGUCGAACGGUAACAGGCCCGCAAGGGUGCUGACGAGUGGCGGACGGGGUGAGGAAUACAUCGGAAUCUGCCCGGUCGUGGGGGAUAACGUAGGGAAACUUACGCUAAUACCGCAUGAGACCGAGAGGUGAAAGCGGGGGAUCAGCAAUGACCUCGCGCGAUCGGAUGAGCCGAUGUCGGAUUAGCUAGUUGGCGGGGUAAAGGCCCACCAAGGCGACGAUCCGUAGCUGGUUCUGAGAGGAUGAUCAGCCACACUGGGACUGAGACACGGCCCAGACUCCUACGGGAGGCAGCAGUGGGGAAUAUUGGACAAUGGGGGCAACCCUGAUCCAGCAAUGCCGCGUGUGUGAAGAAGGCCUUCGGGUUGUAAAGCACUUUUAUCCGGAACGAAACGCGCUCGGUGAACAGCCGGGUGAACUGACGGUACCGGAGGAAUAAGCACCGGCUAACUUCGUGCCAGCAGCCGCGGUAAUACGAAGGGUGCAAGCGUUACUCGGAAUUACUGGGCGUAAAGCGUGCGUAGGUGGUCUUUUAAGUCCGUUGUGAAAUCCCCGGGCUCAACCUGGGAAUGGCAGUGGAUACUGGAAGGCUAGAGUGCGGUAGAGGGAUGUGGAAUUCCCGGUGUAGCGGUGAAAUGCGUAGAGAUUCGGGAGGAACACCAGUGGCGAAGGCGGCAUCCUGGACCAGCACUGACACUCAGGCACGAAAGCGUGGGGAGCAAACAGGAUUAGAUACCCCCGUAGUCC
rnacentral:rRNA from 1 species